AGCGAACGCUGGCGGCAGGCCUAACACAUGCAAGUCGAACGGGCUUCUUCGGAGGGCAGUGGCAGACGGGUGGGUAACGCGGGGCAAGGGGCCCUUCCGUUCGGAUCAACUCAUGGGAACUGGAGCUAAUACCGGAUACGCCCCUAUUGGGGAAGGUUUACUGCCGAAGGAACGGGCCGAGCUUGAGUAGUUUGUCGGUUGGGUAACGGCCUACCAAGGCGACGAUCAGUAGCUGGGAUGAGAGGAUGAUCAGCCACACUGUGGCUGGGACACGGCCCGGACUCUUACGGGAGGCAGCAGUGGGGAAUAUUGGCAAAUGGGGGCGAGCAUGAACCAGCCAUGCUGGGUGAGUGAUUAAGGCCUUAGGGUUGUAAAGCACGUUUGUACGGGGCUGUAAUGACGGUACCGGAAGAAUAAGCCCCGGCUAACUUCGUG
rnacentral:rRNA from 1 species